GUCGGUGUACUCUUAACUGGUAAAGCGGCACCUGAGGGUAUCCUCAUCCGAAGGAUGUUUAUGUGGGUUCGACCCCCACCACCGACU
rnacentral:tRNA from 1 species